AAGAAUGUGACUACUUUAUAGUAAUUAUAAAGUGUUAAACAUCUAAAAACGGAUUGUAUUCCUUUUUGGACUUACAUAAAUCAAACAAACUGUGUACUCUCGACUAAAAUGUGCCUGACUAAACUGACUUCUGUUGUUUUUGAAGGAUGCAUACUUUUGAACACUUUUAUAUAUAAAGUCAAUUGCGUUAGGUACCAUAAAUUUUUUUACAUCGUAGUCAAUUUUGUGAUUCUCACAACUUUGGCCUAACUUCUUGUCCUUCUCUCUAAAUUGCUUGUAAAAAUGAUUUUAUCCCUAAAACAUUCUGUAGAACAAAGUGGAAGCACCAAAUUGGUUAUAGCUAUGUCUAUGCAUGUGCACUUGAAGUGUUGGAAAAUAGUUUUUUAAAUAUGGUUGUCUGAGAGUAUGUUGUGAAUUGUACUUGAAUUUUUGCUAAUUGUUGGUACUCAUUUUGUCAACAAGAAGAAUUUUUAUGAAAAUUGUUUUUAGAGAGUAGCUCUUUUUGACAGAACAGUUCAUAAAAAUUUGUCGGGCAUGCUUCCUCUUUCCUUAGAAUACUACUUUUUACUUUUUUCGUGAGAGAUCUAAAACUAUUUGUUUGAUCGUUUGUAUCACGUUACUCUUACCUGUAUGAAGUCUUAAUAGCCUACUACAAUCAAAUUAAGCCUAGGCUCAUAAUAUUGAAGUUUAUUUUCAGUGUCCAUUGUUGAGGAAGACACAAGGAACAACAAUGGUGAGAAAAAGAAAUCGAUUUACUUUUUUCGUGAGAGAUCUAAUACUAUUUGUUUGAUUGUUUGCAUCACGUUACUCUUACCUGUAUUAAGUCACUCUUACCUGUAUGAAGUCUUAAUAGCCUACUACAAUCAAAUUAAGCUUAGGCUCAUAAUAUUUAAGUUUAUUUUCAGUGUCCAUUGUUUGUUAUCGCAGGACGAGGAAGACACAAGGAACAACAAUGGUGAGAGAGAGAAUUUGAUUGAACAUUUGGAGUUCUUUAACAGUUGUAAUGCUAUUACAACCUUCAAAAGAGAUGUGAAUAUAUGGAUACAGAUUCAACUAGCAAUCCCAUCAAAGAGAGUGCAGCUCAAGGAAAGAAAACGAGAAGAACAAAGAAGAGGAAAUUUAGAGAGAUAGUGAUUGCAUCUUUUGAAAAUUCUGAAAUAGACUCGGCCAUAUGAUAUCUAGUUGAAUCUGUAUCCAUAUAUUCCACAUCUCUUUUGAACGUCAGUUCUGGAAGCUCCAAUGAUUGAUAUAGAUUCAACCAAAGACGCAAUGAAAGAGAGGGCACCUCUAAAAAAGCGGAGUUGGAGACGGAGAAAGAAGUUGAGACCCAAACUGAGGAUGUCAAGGAGAAAACUUCUUGUUCUUAAUAUAAAUGGGCUGCUUGCUCAUAUUGUUAAUGUGCCCCCAAUGGCUGAGCAUACACCAGGUGUACCAGGCAGGAGAGGUGAGAAUGCAGUCUUAAUGUUAUUUGGAAACAUUGAUGAUUAAAGUUGGAGGCAUUUCCCAACUGCCAUGCAUGAUCUCUAACUCUUAACGCAUUGAUUGAUUUUCUGUUUCAGUUUAUGCGACCCUUUUGUAAUGAUUUUAUGAAGUUUUUGCUUUAGGAAAUUUGAUGUCGGUAUUUGGACUUCGGACUUCGAGAGCCAAGUAUGUUGGUUAUUUCAUCAACUUCUCUUGCAUAUUGAUUUAACUCCUGGAAAUAAUUAUUCUCAUGUUUUUCCUGUUUAUUGCCUACUGUUUCUAUGAAUUUCUCGAGUGCUAACCGUGUAGCAUACACAAGGAUGUUGUUGAUAAAUUGGUUAAUAAAUUGUUGGGAGAUUUGAAUCACAAGUUUUUUGGUUGGGCAAGUCUUCAAAGUGUCUGUUUAUUUAUUUCUUUUAAAAAAUUCUGCGCUAAAGAGUUAUUAACAAAAAAAUGUUUUAAUUGGGCCCAUCUCAAAUUUAUUUAUGUAUUUAUUUUUUCUUUUUUACGUUUUCAAGAAAUAUCAGCAUAUUUUCAACCUCUGUCUAGCAAAGGUGUGCAUCACAGUUGAUGCUUUAGCGUGCUUCUAUCAGUUCAGUUUAGGCAGCGACAAGACGUGAGCCACUUUACUGGACCAUACCUAAAAUUUUCACGCAGCAGACCGUCCUCCAUCUAAUGAUUAAAUAUUCUGAUCAACGGUGAUAAAUAUCAGUUAUUGAUAUAGAGGUUCAUAAGUUAGAUGGCUGGGAUUAUCUGAAUGGUGCCCAUUUUGGAUUGAAUAUGAAAGCAGAAAUGGAAAUAUGUUUUAGAAAGCAAAAUCAGCCAAAGUUACUAUAUAAGAUAAGAGUAUUAUGGCUACAUGAAUACUAUAUACUAUUCCUGUAGGUCAUAUUGUUUAGUUGCUUUUGGAAGUUAAUAUACAUGUUACAAAUCAAUGGUACAUAUUCUCUUUUUGCAGGAUGGAUCCUGGGGAUACACUCCUGGGCUUUUCUUGGGGAAGUUAACAAGCCCAUGUUAGUUGAAGAUUUGAGUAAAAUAUGGAAAACAUUGAUCCUAAUCUUCCAUAAAAGAGGAGAGAUUAUAAUAAGUCAAACACAUUGUUAUUGGAUGAUACUCCAUAUAAGAGGGAUUCCUUAAUCCUGCACACUGCAAUCUUCCCAUCUUCACAUACGCCUAUAGGCAAGAGCAACAGCAAUUCAUUAGGUAUGACGUCUUCUAAUAUAAUUCCCUUUUUUUUAUUUUUUAUGUUUUUUUAUUAUUUUAUUUGUCUUCAUCUUGUUUUUCUUUAUAGAACGGGUGAUGCCUUUGCCUUAAUAUUCAGUAAUUCCUUCCAUUUGUACUCGUGACAUUUGCAAUAUGUAUUGAGUCUUCGGAUUGGAAAUGUUAAUUACAUGGCUAGAUGCUACACCAUCCUUAGAAUUACAAGUGUGGUUACAUCAUAAUUUAUUGUUUCUCUAAUUAUUUUUUGUUGCACAUUAUGAUGUUAAAUGACUUGUAAUAGAGGUCUUGGAGGCGAUAUUCGUUCAUAUCUGAAGAAUUUAGCAGCCACUAAAUAUAUACGAACUAUGUAAAGCGCCAUCCAUUUGGCCAACAUGAUCCAAAAUGGGAAUCAUAUCGCCAAUGGUUGUGGAAUUAAGGGAAUCAUAUCGCCAAUCAUAAUUUAGUCUUGACAAGUUUCUCAAAUUUCUCUCUACUGGAUUAGAAGGUUUUUUUUUUUUUUUUUUUUGUAUUCCUGGAUUAGAAGUUCUCUUUCUAGCUUAUUGGGUUUUUCUGUUUACUUCAUUCUCAUUAUUGUUGAUUGGUAAAAUUAUUAUCUCAAUCUGCCUUGGUUUUUCAUGUGGAAAA